AUACGACCACCCAACAGCUGCGAUUGAGGACAGUUAAGAUUAUAUAUGAUGUAAAUAUAUUGAGGGUUUGUCAAGUCUUCCAGGCCAUAAAAUCCACUCUAAUGACCCCACGUGCUCUCCAUGAACCAGUCGCUGGUCCUGCUUAAGGCAAUUGGCAUAAAUAACCCUCAAAACUUCAAAAUACGUGGACAGAAAGCUAAAAAGGCGGCCUUCUUUAAAAAAGCAACUUAGUAGCCACAGUUGCAGAGAAAGUGUGUGUAAUAGUCAAGAGAGUGUGUGUUGAAAGUAGGAACGCCAUGGAGAUUUCGAGAAGCCCAAGUUUAGACAGAGACCCAAGGCGAUAUUACAGAAGACAGAAGAUUCUACUUUACAACCAGCAGCAAAAUUCACAGCAUUGAAUCAAUCACAAAUAAAACUCUACCUGGAAUGCAUUGCUUUUUAAUAAAGGAAAUUGCUAAAUAUAACUAAAGUCACCCGUCGUGCAAACACACACCAUGCUGUCUGUUGUGUCAAAGACGUCUGUUUAACUUUUAUCUUUAAAUAUGAAUAAAGAAACUGACAAAAACUA